AGUAACGCGUAAACAACCUGCCUUCGGGAUGGGGACAACAGACGGAAACGACUGCUAAUACCCAAUGAACUAACCGAGCGAGUGCAAGGAAGAGGAAAGGUGGCCUCUCGAAGAAGCUACCGCCGGAAGAGGGGUUUGCGUCUGAUUAGUUAGUUGGUGGGGUAACGGCCUACCAAGACGAUGAUCAGUAGCCGGUCUGAGAGGAUGAACGGCCACACUGGAACUGAGACACGGUCCAGACUCC
rnacentral:rRNA from 1 species